UACGGGGGGGUGCGAGCGUUGUCCGGAAUCACUGGGCGUAAAGGGCGCGUAGGUGGUUUGAUAAGGGUGUGGUGAAAGUCCGGAGCUCAACUCCGGAUCUGCCGUGCCGACUGUCAAACUCGAGGGCUGUAGAGGCAGACGGAAUUCCGGGUGUAGCGGUGGAAUGCGUAGAGAGUCCGGAGGAAGACCGGUGGCGAAGGCGGUCUGCUGGGCAGUUUCUGACACUGAGGCGCGACAGCGUGGGGAGCAAACAGGG
rnacentral:rRNA from 1 species